rnacentral:miRNA from 1 species
CAUCAGCUGCCAGCCUGGCAUUGUCGAUCUGCAAAAUAGGCUGUGCAUUCUCCAGAGUGGCCGCGAUGAUCUAGAAUGGUAGUGAAAAGAUAGGUGGUCU